UACGGAGGGUGCGAGCGUUGUCCGGAAUCACUGGGCGUAAAGGGCGCGUAGGUGGCUAGGUAAGCGUGUGGUGAAAGUCCGGGGCUCAACCCCGGAUCUGCCGUGCGAACUGCCAGGCUUGAGCAAUGUAGAGGCAGGUGGAAUUUCGGGUGUAGCGGUGGAAUGCGUAGAUAUGCGAAAGAACACCGGUGGCGAAGGCGGCCUGCUGGGCAUUUGCUGACGCUGAGGCGCGAAAGCGUGGGGAGCAAACAGA
rnacentral:rRNA from 1 species